rnacentral:rRNA from 1 species
GAUGAACGCUGGCGGCGUGCCUAAUACAUGCAAGUCGAGCGAACGGACGAGAAGCUUGCUUCUCUGAUGUUAGCGGCGGACGGGUGAGUAACACGUGGAUAACCUACCUAUCAGACUGGGAUAACUUCGGGAAACCGGAGCUAAUACCGGAUAAUAUUUUGAACCGCAUGGUUCAAAAGUGAAAGACGGUCUUGCUGUCACUUAUAGAUGGAUCCGCGCUGCAUUAGCUAGUUGGUAAGGUAACGGCUUACCAAGGCAACGAUGCAUAGCCGACCUGAGAGGGGGAUCGGCCACCCUGGAACUGAGACAGGGUCCAGACUCCUACGGGAGGCAGCAGUAGGGAAUCUUCCGCAAUGGGCGAAAGCCUGACGGAGCAACGCCGCGUGAGUGAUGAAGGUCCUCGGAUCGUAAAACUCUGUUAUUAGGGAAGAACAUAUGUGUAAGUAACUGUGCACAUCUUGACGGUACCUAAUCAGAAAGCCACGGCUAACUACGUG